UUUUUUUUAAUUUGUGGUAUCCCUUUAAGAGUCAUUUGGUACAAUUCAUAGCCUGAUUCAUGCCACCAGCUGCCUCUGAUUUCAGUGAGAAAUGCAGAAAUUUAUAGGGAACUGUAAAAUGGGGACAGGUUUUUCGUUUUCUAAAUUGAGGUUUUAACUGGCAAACUUCUGAAGGUUUAAGAAACCGCAGAGCUGAGCUGUGGGAAGCUGGCUUCAUUUCCGGUCAGAAGAAAUAAACACACAAACACAUAUCUAACUCACAAAGUGUCGGAAGAGAUAAACCAAUGCUCUUUGCAGAGGAGGAAAACAAAAAAUCAGCCUCGUGGGCAACAGGAGGGAAGUCACAUUUGCCAGCGGACAGCCCCCUAUGCUGGCAGAGGGAGAAACUGAGCCUGGGCAGCGACGGGCAGGAUUUGCACAAAGUCUCCCGCUUCGAGCUGCGUGUCUCCGCAGUCCCAGGGCAGCGCCCAGCCCACAUCGCCCUUCUCAAAGCCCCAGGGAUUGAUGAGAACCCCCUGCAACAGCCACAGGACACACAGUCUUAGGAUAUGGGCUUUCAUCCUCAUGCCUGCCACCUCAUGGUCACAAAAAGGCUGCUGUAACUCCAGAUGUCAUGUCCACAUUCAAAACAGAAAAAAAGGAGAAAGAGGAAAAGGGGACUGGGAGACUUCUCCUUACGUCUCACAGACCAGAGCUGAGUCACGUGGCCACCACUAACUGCAAAGGAGACUGAGGUUCCCCAGAUGCUAAGGCCACAUGGACCAAGCAGAACCAACCACAGGACAGCAUUGGUUAGGCUAUAAGAAGCAAAUGGACAGUUGGGAUGGAUGAAGGAGCUCAUAAAGGCAAAAGUACCUAGAACACACAAAAGUCAUAAAGCAGCCCUGAUUAGGAGAGAGAAUGCUUGGAUGGAUCAGCAUGGAGCCAAGUGGACAAAGGCAAACUGUGUUUUAUAACAAGAAGAGCCUGAAUCUUGCCCUAAAUUGAGAGUGAGGAAUGAGGGAGGGGAGAAAGCAAAGAUAAGUCCCAGAAUGCUGACUUCAGGGGUUGCUGGGGCCACUUACUGGGACAGGGAAGAGGGGAGGAAGGUCGCCAGGGCCCACAGGAUCACGAGCCCUGCCUGCCAGGCCAGCUGUGGUAAAGUCACCACUGAUCCAGGAUCUUGAAAGGGUUGAGGACCGACACUGAAUCUUUACGCAUCAGGAAGACAAAAAGGAUUUCCUCACGAAGACUGACAUGAUCAGACAGUGUUUUAGAAAAUGUGUGUUUGGUGAGCAUAUGGGACAUGGAAGAUAAACCAGGAGCUAACAAUACCUAAGUAGCCAGGCCCCCCAAUUCUCCUGCCACUCCCAGGCUCAGGAAAAUGUAAUGAAAUGAAAGCAGUUUGGAAAAGAGCUGGAAAGACCUCCCAGCUAGACCCAGCCCAGAGCGCAGCUUGGCCAAAGCUCAGGUCAUGCGGAGCACAUGGGCCUUGCGGCUGGCUGCAUUCACCGGCCAAACCACAGGGCAAAUUUAAACACUUCAGUUGUCACAACACAGCAGACCUGAAUGACAACAGCUUUCUUAAAAGUAGGACUUCAAAAACAAAAACACUUCUUCACACACACACACACAAAAAAACCAAAAAACAAAACAAAACAAAAUCUCAGGAAAACUGGCUCUCUCUCAGGCAAUUAUUUUAAAACGUUGGGCCUCAAAAUAUUUUCAGCCCCAGCCCACAUGGAAGGGGCACAAAGCUGUGUGGACCUUCUUUUGUCUUCACCAUAUCUGACCGAGAAAAAGGGUGACUCUUCUGAAGACAAGCCAAUAGACCCUGAGUGUUGAGCACCUAACACAUGAUGCUCACCACUGCAUUGUUAGCACAGUAGGAGUAUUUGGGUAAGUCAUGAUAGCUCUUUGGGCCUGAGUUGUUUUGGAUUUUGUCCCCAUAAGUGGAAAUAAUGAUAACACUUUCCUUACAUACUGUUUCGAAGACAUAGUUCUUCUUCUCCUUCUCCUCCUCCUCCUCCUCUUCCUCCUCUUCCUCCUCCUCCUUCU